UCUGGGCGGAAGGCACAUCACAGCGCGACAAGACUUUCGCUCUGAGAUUUAUAGUGAUUGAAAUCUGACAGUAAUGUACAGUGAGUAGUGUUUGUCGUCUGUCGACCAGAGUCGCCAAAUGAGCCGACGAAUAAAUGAACGUCUAUGGUACCCAGAGUUAUCAGAAAUGUUUAUCAUGUCUUCGUAGCAACUAAGCCUGGGCCAAAACUCAAGUGGACGACUAGAAAAAGGUAAGCUUCUGUGAUGAAUGAAUACUGCAUCCAUUAAGUGAUUUACGAAAAUUGAUGAAAACCAUCAUAGCGAGGACUCACCCUGCCUCAGAGUGGACUCUCCCAGCUGCGAAGGAUACAGAUCACCUAGGGAUCAGGGAAGGCACUUUAGAUCAAAAAG